rnacentral:rRNA from 1 species
AUUGAACGCUGGCGGCAGGCUUAACACAUGCAAGUCGAGCGGGGGAGGUUGCUUCGGUAACUGACCUAGCGGCGGACGGGUGAGUAAUGCUUAGGAAUCUGCCUAUUAGGGGGGGACAACAUUCCGAAAGGGAUGCUAAUCCCGCAUACGCCCUACGGGGGAAAGCAGGGGAUCCUCGGACCUUGCGCUAAUAGAUGAGCCUAAGUCGGAUUAGGUAGUUGGUGGGGUAAAGGCCUACCAAGGCGACGAUCUGUAGCGGGUUUGAGAGGUUGGACCGCCACACUGGGACUGAGACGCGGCACAGACUCCUGCGGGAGGAAGCAGUGGGGAAUAUUGGACAAAGGGCGGAAGCCUGAUCCAGCCAUGCCGCGUGUGUGAAGAAGGCCUUUUGGUUGUAAAGCACUUUACGCGAGGAGGAGGCUCUUAAGGUUAAUACCCUUGAUGAGUGGACGUUACUCGCAGAAUAAGCACCGGCUAACUCUGUGCCAGCCGCCGCCGUAACAC